UGGGGAAUAUUGGACAAUGGGGGCGACCCUGAUCCAGCCAUGCCGCGUGAGUGAUGACGGCCUUCGGGUUGUAAAGCUCUUUUACAUGGGAAGAUAAUGACGGUACCAUGAGAAUAAGCACCGGCAAACUUCGUGCCAGCAGCCGCGGUAAUACGAAGGGUGCGAGCGUUGUUCGGAAUUACUGGGUGUAAAGGGCGUGUAGGCGGAUGCGCGAGUUAGUGGUGAAACCCCUGGGCUUAACCUGGGAACUGCCAUUGAUACUGUGUAUCUUGAGUAUCGGAGAGGAUAACGGAAUAUCCAGUGUAGAGGUGAAAUUCGUAGAUAUUGGAUAGAACACCGGUGGCGAAGGCGGUUAUCUGGCCGAUUACUGACGCUGAGGCGCGAGAGCGUGGGGAGCAAA
rnacentral:rRNA from 1 species